rnacentral:rRNA from 1 species
AUUGAACGCUGGCGGCAUGCUUUACACAUGCAAGUCGAACGGUAACAGGUCUUCGGAUGCUGACGAGUGGCGAACGGGUGAGUAAUACAUCGGAACGUGCCUAGUAGUGGGGGAUAACUACUCGAAAGAGUGGCUAAUACCGCAUGAGAUCUACGGAUGAAAGCAGGGGAUCGCAAGACCUUGUGCUACUAGAGCGGCCGAUGGCAGAUUAGGUAGUUGGUGGGAUAAAAGCUUACCAAGCCGACGAUCUGUAGCUGGUCUGAGAGGACGAUCAGCCACACUGGGACUGAGACACGGCCCAGACUCCUACGGGAGGCAGCAGUGGGGAAUUUUGGACAAUGGGCGCAAGCCUGAUCCAGCAAUGCCGCGUGCAGGAUGAAGACCUUCGGGUUGCAAACUGCUUUUGUACGGAACGAAAAGCCCUGGGUUAAUACCCUGGGGUCAUGACGGUACCGUAAGAAUAAGCACCGGCUAACUACGUGCCAGCAGCCGCCGUAAAAC